GAAGUCCCCUUUUCUGAAGGUGAUUGUUUGUGCGAUCGGUGCUAGUCACGAGUUGUUUACAGGAAAAGUGCACCGGGGUCAAGAGUUCAAGGUCAAACUGUGCUGGAUUGUCCCCCCCCCCUCUACUUAUAUCACCUCUAGACAGCAGUGUAGAACUACAAUCAAACCUCAACUUCGGGGGAUGUUUGGAUACUUGGGGAUUCCAUCAUACAUCGAGCAGUGACCACGCUCGGGACUGGGCAAGAAGUCAGCUGGAAUGGUCUACGGGGAGCGAAAUGUGGUGACGUAACAAAAUUAAUGGCGGAACUCGCAUCAAGAUGGCCCGUCCGGCCAGACCGAUUUCAUCUGUUUCCGACAAAGGUUGAAACUUUCCACGCAAGAGUGUCCUGACACUUACCCAGAGGCUCAGUUGGUUUGUUCGGAUAUUUUACUAAUCCAUCAACAAUGGAAAAGAAACGCCGCGAGAUCAAUAGGUGGGCAUGUUUGCUCGGUAGUCGACUGGGAGUGUCAGUGCUGCACCACCCUCAGUUUCGAUGAUCGGAGUUGGCAUUGUAUCGUUACGAUGGUGUGAUGGUUAUCUGACACGGGCAAAGACUAUUUAGAGCCACCUUAAAAUACUGCAUCAUCACUGUCUUUGAAAAAUAAAAUCGUUUCAGGGGAUGUGAGCCUAAUGGGUGGCAGUAUUUGUUCAAGUGUUUGCUUGUUUAGACAGUAUAAGCAAGGGUGGCUCGGGUGUCCGGGCGGUCGUCGCAGUGGGACCCGCGUUGCGCGUCUGGCACGAACUUAUGGUGUACUAUUUACGACAAACAUUUCUCUCUUGCCCCCUCCAGGCGACACAACCAGACGGCACAACGGCUCCCUUGCGUCAUGCCGUCGGGUCGAAUUGUCGCCUUUGUACAA